rnacentral:tRNA from 1 species
AGUCCCGAGGUGAAUUUUCAUAUUGAAUUGCAAAUUCAAAGGAGCAGCUUCAACUCUGCCGGGGCUU